GCUGUGUGUACAGCGGAACUGAAGCCCUGCAGAAUUAAAGAUUGCAGGGUUGGGGGAAGGGUCUGUGUACAGAAACUGGUUUCCUGAAGCAGAGGCCUCUAGGUAGCAGAAUGGCCUACUGCAUCUCUGGACAUUGAGAGAUCCUGCAGGACAAAGGAGAGUGUGCUGAGUCAUGUGAACUGAGCCGUGUGACAGGAAACUCGGAUUGAACUGGAUAAAGACUGCUAGCCUGGGGAAUGCCAACAGGUGGGAACCUCCCAGGGCCAUACUCUGUGCAGCUGUCUUCUCAUUUUCCAGCCUCCCAAGAGGUGCUGGGAAGUUCACAUACUAUUUUGGAGUUCCUGGGAUCCUAAG